rnacentral:rRNA from 1 species
ACCGGCAGCUCAAGUGGUGGCCAUUUUUAUUGGGCCUAAAGCGUUCGUAGCCGGUUUGAUAAGUCUCUGGUGAAAUCCCGCAGCUUAACUGUGGGACUUGCUGGAGAUACUAUUAGACUUGAGGUCGGGAGAGGUUAGGGGUACUCCCAGGGUAGGGGUUAAAUGCUAUAAUCCUGGGAGUAACACCUGUGGGGAAGGCGCCGGACUGGAACUAACCUGACGGUGAGUACCGGAAGCCACGUGCUCGGACCU